CAUGGAGACGCUGUACCCCCUACAUCUAUCACACCAUGAUCAAGUCCCACACACCUGUGAACCUCUUCCCAAGGUGAAGCCACUAAAGCCCAAAGGCAAGGAGAAUCUCUCCUGGGAUGACAAGGCUCCAGUGUGCACUUGGACUCCAAGGUUCUCCAUGGGCCUCAGAACAUCACUAGAGCUCUGGAGAAGGCUGACACUGCUAUUGACAGGACCAGACAGAUCCAGCAAGAAAGUCAACAGUACAUCUCCAAGCCCUUGACUAGAAGUGACACUGAAGGUUGAGAAAAAUCAUAAGAAAGACAAAUCCGGUGAUGAGCUUGAUUACAUGAGCUGUGGCUAUCAGUUUACUCCAUUCAGAAAACGCCCAGGGAGCAGGGGACAUGCUUCCUCUGCCAAUCCUGUGUCCUUCCCAGUCCAAUAAGCAACGAGGAGAUCUGAGCUGCCCGCAAGGCCAAGGAUUCUCUUACUUUUCCUCUGUUCCCAUAGUCUAGACGCACUCUGAGGACCAGACCCCAAGUCAGAUAGGCGUCUACCCCUCUGCCACACCAGAGGCUGCUCCAUUUUCAGGUGAAUCUGAGGAGACUUGAGUUGCAUGAGGGGUAAGAUUCAAGUGACUGAACAAGCAAGGCCAAACUUUGUGUCUCACUGUCUGACUGUACCAGCAAGAGCCCAGGAGCUUGGAAUUCUGGACUAGGGUUUGUAGUCCAGCAGCAGGAAGGUAAUCAGUAUAGGUCAAGUUGUAGCCAUCUGUAGAUCCACCCUGUCCCCAGCUCUGCCUCAGAGAAAUCACCAUGAGCUCCUGAGGCUUUGCAAAGUGACCACAGAGAACAGGUAGUUCUUGAGCCUAGAGCAUCUGAAACAAGAAACUUCCUGCAGGGCUGCAUCUGACAGGCCUUGAGAGGGUGCUACUCGGUCCUGGCAAGGUGCUGUAUCCGGCUGAUUUCCAGUUUUUGCCAGGACACUUAGGGCUCAGUCAGAUUUUGUGACAGGUCCCUGUGCUUAGAGUCCCUGUGGUAGAUCCAGGAGGGCCUGGAUCCUUGACACGAAUGCUGCCAGUUUCGUGAUGUCAUAAGCAACCCCUGAACGGCAGCCUGUCAUGCAAAGAUGUCCCCAGCUCCUUGGAACCCCCUCAGUAUAGGGACCUUCUUCACACCUGUAUCCACUGAAGGGGUCACUAUCACCAGCCUCUUUCUCUCCCAACCCCUGCACACUUGCUCCUUCCUCUCUCUUCCCCAACCACCACUCAGAGUGCAGGCCACCACCCACAGUGGCUAUCCAGACAUGGAGCUUCAAAUGCUGCUGGUUGGGAGAAUGUCCCUGGUGGUCUCUGCUGGGACAAUGGGAGGGGGGCAUCCUUCCAGCUGGGUGGUGGGGCUAAUCCCUGAGGCUCCAGGUAGGGGUCAGAGAGAACAGCAAAAGCAGGCAUACAAGGCAGCGGCCACUCAUGUAAAUGGGCAAGCUCCCUGGGACUUGCUGGCACCCGUGGUGCUGGUUUCUCUAUUCACUGGAGUUCCGUUGCUUGUCCCCACCCAACUUUAUAAACCCAACAGUUUAUGGCAGGCAGCUUGAGAGGCCUGACCUAGCUUUGCAGCUGUCUUGUUUAUCUCUGUUAAGGCCAAGGAGAGGAGAAGGGUGUGCUAGGCUCCUCUCUGAAAGGUGAUAGGAGUCCACCCUUUUUUGCAGGGCACUGGAGUGCCAUGAGAGCUGUUCUCCUGGACUCUGCCCAGGGGCCUCAGCCUAAGAGCUCUACUGAGAAGUGAUUCCUCUGAGGACACUCCCCAUGCGUGUCUGAUGGCUCCAUACAAGUCAAAAGAAGACUCCUGAGGAGUGCUUGUCAUGUCUACACACCAGACAGGAAGAAGACAAGCUUCCCUCCAGCUGUGAGAGGGGUCUCUCGAGAGGCGUGGUCUCAGGUGGAGGAGGAGUUCCCAUGGAUCUGAGGCGCUCACUCCGGCUUCAUCUGCUCCUCACCAAUUACAGUUACAAAGACACUCCUCCUGAGGAAGACCACAUUUCCCAAGUAUCUGGAGUCAACAUUCAGACCACGGUUUGCUGAAGACAAGGAAAUGAAUGCCAAAUGUUCAAUGACCUCACUGAGCUCUUCUGAAGGGCCCUGGCUCACCUGCGGGGCCCUGGCUACCAGCAAUGUCUGGGCUUCUUUAUAGUAGUCCUGGUUAGACCCCUGCUGUCUCUGGUCCCUCUCCACAACCACUGCUUCUCUGUGACACUGGAGUGGUAAGUUUAGCUUACCCAGCUAACACAACUCAGAUCAACAAUAUGGCGUGGACAUAAACCCAUCCAGAGACCAGAGCCAUAGCCCAUUUUGGCUCAUAACACCCUGGGGUCACUAAGGGAGGGACAAAACUUCAUUUGUCACCUGUUGAUGGAUUGGAUUUAAAAACUGCCCACGAAAAUACGCAUGUAGUCCUUAGCCCCUGGUA
rnacentral:sRNA from 1 species